GGACAGUUGUGUUGAUGAAGAAGAAUGUCUUGGACUUUACGGAUGUUGGUGCUUCUCUUCUCGAUCGAUUUCAUGAAGUCAUUGGCAAAGGUGUUUCUUUGCAGCUCAUCAGUGCAGACCAUGCAGAACCUGGAAAUGGCUGUACAGGGAAGUUGGGACAACCAGCAUUCCUGGAAAAAUGGAUUUCCACGUUGACGUCAAUAUCAGCGGGAGAUGCUACAUUUAAUGUGACAUUUGACUGGGAUGAGUCCAUGGGAGUUCCUGGAGCUUUCAUAAUCAAGAAUUACCACCACAGUCAGUUUUACCUCAGGACAGUCGUUUUAGAAGAUGUUCCUGGACAUGGUGAACUUCAUUUUGUGUGCAAUUCAUGGGUGUAUCCAGAACACCGCUAUAAAUAUGACCGCGUGUUUUUUGCAAACAAGACAUACCUGCCUAGCAACACACCGGAGCCUCUCAGACCAUACAGGGAACAGGAGCUUCUUAGUCUUCGUGGAAGUGGUUCAGGCAAGCUCAAGGAGUGGGACAGAGUGUAUGAUUAUGCAUUCUACAAUGAUCUUGGAUUUCCAGAUAAGGGGCCAGACUAUGUUCGACCUGUGCUUGGUGGAUCGAAGGAAUAUCCAUAUCCUCGUAGAGGCAGGACAAGCCGUCGAGCAACCAAAACAGAUCCCAUGUCAGAGAGCCGGUUGCCGCCUUUAGGUUUGGACAUUUAUGUUCCACGAGAUGAGCGUUUCACUCCUAUGAAGCUUUCAGAUUUCCUUGCAUAUGCUGUUAAAUCUUUGGGUCAGGUCCUCGUUCCUGAGAUUGUUGCUUUAUUUGACAAAACGAUCAACGAGUUUGAUAGCUUUGAAGACGUACUCAAGCUUUAUGAAGGUGGGAUUAAACUGCCAGACCAUCAUUUAAAAAAACUCAGGCAAUGCAUCCCAUGGGAGAUGCUCAAAGAACUAGUCCGCUCCGAUGGUGAACCAUUUCUCAAAUUUCCGAUGCCUGAUGUAAUCAAAGUUGAUAGGUCUGCCUGGAGGACAGAUGAAGAGUUUGGA
rnacentral:misc_RNA from 1 species